rnacentral:rRNA from 1 species
ACGAUUUACGGGAGGCAGCAGUGGGGAAUCUUGCACAAUGGAGGAAACUCUGAUGCAGCGAUGCCGCGUGAGUGAAGAAGGCCUUUGGGUUGUAAAGCUCUUUCGUCGGGGAAGAAAAUGACUGUACCCGAAUAAGAAGGUCCGGCUAACUUCGUGCCAGCAGCCGCGGUAAUACGAAGGGACCUAGCGUAGUUCGGAAUUACUGGGCUUAAAGAGUUCGUAGGUGGUUGAAAAAGUUGGUGGUGAAAUCCCAGAGCUUAACUCUGGAACUGCCAUCAAAACUUUUCAGCUAGAGUUUGAUAGAGGAAAGCAGAAUUUCUAGUGUAGAGGUGAAAUUCGUAGAUAUUAGAAAGAAUACCAAUUGCGAAGGCAGCUUUCUGGAUCAUUACUGACACUGAGGAACGAAAGCAUGGGUAGCGAAGAGGAUUAGAUACCCUCGUAGUCCAUGCCGUAAACGAUGUGUGUUAGACGUUGGAAAUUUAUUUUCAGUGUCGCAGCGAAAGCGAUAAACACACCGCCUGGGGAGUACGACCGCAAGGUUAAAACUCAAAGGAAUUGACGGAAUCUC